GAUGAAGAACGUAGCGAAAUGCGAUAAGUAAUGUGAAUUGCAGAAUUCAGUGAAUCAUCGAAUCUUUGAACGCACAUUGCGCCCGCCAGUAUUCUGGCGGGCAUGCCUGUUCGAGCGUCAUUUCAACCCUCAAGCCCAGCUCGGUGUUGGGGAUCGGCACAGGCGCCCUCGGGCGCCCGCCGUCCCCUAAAUCUAGUGGCGGUCCCGCUGCAGCCUCCUCUGCGUAGUAGUUUUCUCCUCGCAAGGGCAGCUCGGUGGCGACCUCGCCGUAAAACCCCCAACUUCUGAAAGGUUGACCUCGAAUCAGGUAGGAAUACCCGCUGAACUUAAGCAUAUCAAUAAGCGGAGGA
rnacentral:misc_RNA from 1 species